UACGUAGGGUGCGAGCGUUGUCCGGAAUUAUUGGGCGUAAAGAGCUUGUAGGUGGCUCGUUGCGUCGGGAGUGAAAACCUGCGGCUUAACCGCAGGCCUGCUUCCGAUACGGGCGAGCUAGAGUUCGGCAGGGGAGACUGGAAUUCCUGGUGUAGCGGUGGAAUGCGUAGAGACCGGGAAGGAACACCGGUGGCGAAGGCGGCCUGCUGGGCUCGCCCUGACGCUGAGGGACGAAAGCGUGGGGAGCGAACCGG
rnacentral:rRNA from 1 species